rnacentral:misc_RNA from 1 species
GAAAUGUGAUAAGUAAUGUGAAUUGCAGAAUUCAGUGAAUCAUCGAAUCUUUGAACGCACCUUGCGCUCCCUGGUAUUCCGGGGAGCAUGUCUGUUUGAGUGUCAUGAACUCUUCAACCCACCAGUUUCUUGUAGAUUGGAUGGUGUUUGGAUUUUGAACGUUGCUGGUCUUCGGAUCUUAGCUCGUUCGUAAAACAUUAGCAACUCUAAUUCGAACUCGGAUUGACUCAGUGUAAUAGACUAUUCGCUGAGGACACUUGCCUUGUGCUUGUGGCCGGAUGAGAUAAAUGUAGAAGCUUCAAACUACUUUAAAGUCAACUUUAGAUUAGACCUCAGAUCAGACAGGAUUACCCGCUGAACUUAA